GGCACCUUGGCAGAGUGGUUAACGCGGAGCCCUGCUAAGGCUUUUCUCUUUGGGAGCGCGGGUCAAAUCCUGUGGGUUUUG